UCGGAUGUGCCCAGAUGGAUUUAGCUAGUAGGUGGGGUAACGGCUCACCUAGGCGACGAUCCCUAGCUGGUCUGAGAGGAUGACCAGCCACACUGGAACUGAGACACGGUCCAGACUCCUACGGGAGGCAGCAGUGGGGAAUAUUGCACAAUGGGCGCAAGCCUGAUGCAGCCAUGCCGCGUGUAUGAAGAAGGCCUUCGGGUUGUAAAGUACUUUCAGCGGGGAGGAAGGGAGUAAAGUUAAUACCUUUGCUCAUUGACGUUACCCGCAGAAGAAGCACCGGCUAACUCCGUGCCAGCAGCCGCGGUAAUACGGAGGGUGCAAGCGUUAAUCGGAAUUACUGGGCGUAAAGCGCACGCAGGCGGUUUGUUAAGUCAGAUGUGAAAUCCCCGGGCUCAACCUGGGAACUGCAUCUGAUACUGGCAAGCUUGAGUCUCGUAGAGGGGGGUAGAAUUCCAGGUGUAGCGGUGAAAUGCGUAGAGAUCUGGAGGAAUACCGGUGGCGACCGCGGCCCCCUGGACGAAGACUGACGCUCAGGUGCGAAAGCGUGGGGAGCAAACAGGAUUAGACCCCCUGGUAGUCCACGCCGUAAACGAUGUCGACUUGGAGGUUGUGCCCUUGAGGCGUGGCUUCCGGAGCUAACGCGUUAAGUCGACCGCCUGGGGAGUACGGCGCAAGGUUAAAACUCAAAUGAAUUGACGGGGGCCCGCACAAGCGGUGGAGCAUGUGGUUUAAUUCGAUGCAACGCGAAGAACCUUACCUGGUCUUGACAUCCACGGAAGUUUUCAGAGAUGAGAAUGUGCCUUCGGGAACCGUGAGACAGGUGCUGCAUGGCUGUCGUCAGCUCGUGUUGUGAAAUGUUGGGUUAAGUCCCGCAACGAGCGCAACCCUUAUCCUUUGUUGCCAGCGGUCCGGCCGGGAACUCAAAGGAGACUGCCAGUGAUAAACUGGAGGAAGGUGGGGAUGACGUCAAGUCAUCAUGGCCCUUACGACCAGGGCUACACACGUGCUACAAUGGCGCAUACAAAGAGAAGCGACCUCGCGAGAGCAAGCGGACCUCAUAAAGUGCGUCGUAGUCCGGAUUGGAGUCUGCAACUCGACUCCAUGAAGUCGGAAUCGCUAGUAAUCGUGGAUCAGAAUGCCACGGUGAAUACGUUCCCGGGCCUUGUACACACCGCCCGUCACACCAUGGGAGUGGGUUGCAAAAGAAGUAGGUAGCUUAACCUUCGGGAGGGCGCUUACCACUUUGUGAUUCAUGACUGGGGUGAAGUCGUAACAAGGU
rnacentral:rRNA from 1 species